UUUAAUGCUGUGACUUCUGCUUUCAGAGUACUCGUCUAGUGAAAAUUAGGGUUUCUACUCAAUUUUGGGAUCCAUGCACACCUCACGUAUGCUAUUUUCACUCUGUGGUGAGAAUUAAUAUAGUGUACAUUAGAAUCACUGCUCUCAUCCUCUCCAGGAGCUGCCUCACUGUUGCUGACGAUUGUACUAACUGCAAGACUGUUCACUUUGAAUAUUGAAGCAUCUGCAAACAAAGAUUGAAGGAAUGAGAGUCUGUAGCAGAGAAAAUAGGUGAACCAAAGGAAACACUAAAGGGAGUGAAUCGGCAAGAAAGGUACUGGCAAGCUGAUUGGCAGAAAAGCUCAGUAGUGAUGGAAAACAGAGAGAGAACAAAUACAACAUAAAGGUAAUGGUUUAGUACAACAUAUGACUGGACCAGGCAGUCCAUAGGGGAGA